rnacentral:rRNA from 1 species
GACGAACCGAGCGAACGUUGUUCGGAAUCACUGGGCUUAAAGGGCGCGUAGGCGGGUGGCUAAGUCUGUGGUGAAAUCCUCCAGCUCAACUGGAGAACUGCCAUGGAUACUGGUUGUCUCGAGGAACGUAGGGGUAUGCGGAACUAUCGGUGGAGCGGUGAAAUGCGUUGAUAUCGAUAGGAACUCCGGUGGCGAAGGCGGCAUACUGGACGUUUUCUGACGCUGAGGCGCGAAAGCCAGGGGAGCAAACGGG